CGGCGAGUGAAGCGGCAACAGCUCAAAUUUGAAAUCUGGCCCUCGGGUCCGAAUUGUAAUUUGUAGAGGAUGAUUUUGGUGCGGUAUCUUCCGAGUUCCUUGGAACAGGACGCCUUAGAGGGUGAGAGCCCCGUACGGUUGAAUGCCUAGCCUCUGUAAAUCUCCUUCGACGAGUCGAGUAGUUUGGGAAUGCUGCUCUAAAUGGGAGGUAAAUUUCUUCUAAAGCUAAAUAUUGGCCAGAGACCGAUAGCGCACAAGUAGAGUGAUCGAAAGAUGAAAAGCACUUUGAAAAGAGGGUUAAAUAGCACGUGAAAUUGUUGAAAGGGAAGGAUUUGUGACCAGACUUUUUCUGGGCGGAUCAUCCGGGGUUCUCUCCGGUGCACUUUGCCCAGUAAAGGCCAGCAUCGAUUUUCGGCGGCGGAUAAAAGCAGUGGGAAUGUGGCUCCCCUCGGGGAGUGUUAUAGCCCAUUGUAUAAUACGCUGCUGGGGAUCGAGGUACGCGCUUCUGCAAGGAUGCUGGCGUAAUGGUUAUCAAUCACCCGUCUUGAAACACGGACCAAGGAGUCGAACAUUUAUG
rnacentral:rRNA from 1 species